GAUGAAGAACGUAGCGAAAUGCGAUACGUAAUGUGAAUUGCAGAAUUCAGUGAAUCAUCGAGUCUUUGAACGCACAUUGCGCCCCCUGGUAUUCCGGGGGGCAUGCCUGUCCGAGCGUCAUUGCUGCCCUCAAGCACGGCUUGUGUGUUGGGCCUCCGUCCUCCUCCCGGGGGACGGGCCCGAAAGGCAGCGGCGGCACCGCGUCCGGUCCUCGAGCGUAUGGGGCUUCGUCACCCGCUCUUGUAGGCCCGGCCGGCGCUUGCCGACACAUCAAUCUUUUUUCCAGGUUGACCUCGGAUCAGGUAGGGAUACUCGCUGAACUUAAGCAUAUCAAUAAGCGGAGGA
rnacentral:misc_RNA from 1 species